ACACUGGGGGUAGGUUACCGUAGCGUAGACACUGGGGGUAGGUUACCGUAGCGUAGACACUGGGGGUAGGUUACCGUAGCGUAGACACUGGGGGUAGGUUACCGUAGCGUAGACACUGGGGGUAGGUUACCGUAGCGUAGACACUGGGGGUAGGUUACCGUAGCGUAGACACUGGGGGUAGGCGACCGUAGACACUGGGGGUAGGUUACCGUAGCGUAGACACUGGGGGUAGGUUACCGUAGCGUAGGCACUGGGGGUAGGCGACCGUAGCGUAGACACUGGGGGUAGGUUACCGUAGACACUGGGGGUAGGUUACCGUAGCGUAGACACUGGGGGUAGGUUACCGUAGCGUAGACACUGGGGGUAGGUUACCGUAGCGUAGACACUGGGGGUAGGUUACCGUAGCGUAGACACUGGGGGUAGGUUACCGUAGCGUAGACACUGGGGGUAGGUUACCGUAGCGUAGACACUGGGGGUAGGUUACCGUAGCGUAGACACUGGGGGUAGGCGACCGUAGACACUGGGGGUAGGUUACCGUAGCGUAGACACUGGGGGUAGGUUACCGUAGCGUAGACACUGGGGGUAGGUUACCGUAGCGUAGACACUGGGGGUAGGUUACCGUAGCGUAGACACUGGGGGUAGGUUACCGUAGCGUAGACACUGGGGGUAGGUUACCGUAGCGUAGACACUGGGGGUAGGUUACCGUAGCGUAGACACUGGGGGUAGGUUACCGUAGCGUAGACACUGGGGGUAGGUUACCGUAGACACUGGGGGUAGGUUACCGUAGCGUAGACACUGGGGGUAGGUUACCGUAGCGUAGACACUGGGGGUAGGUUACCGUAGCGUAGGCACUGGGGGUAGGUUACC